GGAGCUGAAUGUCAACAUUAAAGAUGAAGAAGAGGAGGAGGAGAUUGGAAUAUCUGUUUCUCAUGGUAUGAGGCCAGUAACAUCAACACUGAGUCCAAACCUACAGUCACUGGGUCCAGAUUGUGACAGUGGAGCCCAGUUUGCUCUGCAGGAUCCAGAGAUGGCAUCAGUGAAGCUGGAAGACUGCAGUCAAACACUGGAGCUGAAUGUCAACAUUAAAGAUGAAGAAGAGGAGGAGGAGAUUGGGACAUCUGUUAAUCAUGGUAAAAGCAUGUUCUAUCUAAUAUUUUUGUUCGUUACAACUUUCCACUGUGUAUGAAAAGUUUCUGUAGAACUGUUUCAUGAUGAACUGUUUCAAUGAGAAGGUAGAUGUUAUUUCAUGGUACUCAGACUUGCAUGGUUUGACACCAGUAUUGUCAGCAUUUGUUUUAUUAACUGGUCUAUCUGGAGUGAUCAGAGUGUAGACUGAAGAAGUGGAGUAGACAUACUGCCAGUGUUUUAAAGUUCUAUGAAAUGAGUCUGUGAUAGUGAGUGGAGGAUUAUAUGGCUCAUCAUUUUGACUUAUGAGAUUUUAGAUUAGUUUUAUUCCCCUUUUUUAUUGCGCAGCCUUCUGAUAUGAAUUACGUACAGGUAGCCUAGUGGUUGGAGAGAUGGGCCAGUAAUCGAAAGGUUGCUGGAUCGAAUCCUUGAGCUGACAAGGUAAAAAUAAACUUGGCAAAAAAAGAAACGUC